GUCUUCAGCUAUACUAUUCUAGAUGCACCCAACUCAUCUGAUCUCAGAGGCUAAGCGGGGUCAAGCCUGGUUAGUACCUGGAUAGGCAAGUUGAGACCUUUUGCAAAGACC
rnacentral:rRNA from 1 species